GACGUAGGGGGCAAGCGUUGUCCGGAAUGACUGGGCGUAAAGGGCGCGUAGGCGGACUGCACAGUCAGGCGUGAAAUUCCUGGGCUUAACCUGGGGACUGCGUCUGAGACGUGUGAUCUAGAGUGAGGAAGAGGGUCGUGGAAUUUCCAGUGUAGAGGUGAAAUUCGUAGAUAUUGGAAAGAACACCGGUGGCGAAGGCGGCGACCUGGUCCUUGACUGACGCUGAGGCGCGAAAGCGUGGGGAGCAAACAGG
rnacentral:rRNA from 1 species